rnacentral:rRNA from 1 species
GGUUGAUCCUGCCAGUGGUCAUAUGCUUGUCUCAAAGAUUAAGCCAUGCAUGUCUAAGCAUAGCUGGUAACAGUGAAGCCGCGAAUAGCUCAUUACAACAGCCGUUGUUUCUUGGAUCUCUCCUCUACUUGGAUAUCUCUGGUAAUUCUAGAGCUAAUACAUGCAAUAAGACCCGACGCAAGGACGGUCGCAAUUAUUAGAACAAAACCAUCCGGUCUUCGGACCGUUCUUUGGUGACUCUGAAUAACUGAGCAAAUCACACGGUCUCGCACCGGUGAUGUAUCUUUCAAGU